UACGUAGGGCGCAAGCGUUGUCCGGAAUUAUUGGGCGUAAAGAGCUCGUAGGCGGCUUGUCACGUCGGAUGUGAAAGCCCGAGGCUUAACCUCGGGUCUGCAUUCGAUACGGGCUAGCUAGAGUGUGGUAGGGGAGAUCGGAAUUCCUGGUGUAGCGGUGAAAUGCGCAGAUAUCAGGAGGAACACCGGUGGCGAAGGCGGGUCUCUGGGCCGAUACUGACGCUGAGGAGCGAAAGCGUGGGGAGCGAACAGG
rnacentral:rRNA from 1 species